AUCUGACUGAAUCAAGGAACGACUAGCUUCAAUUUCAGUCUCAAGUUGCUCGUUUGGAAACAACAAGCUAUACUUAGAUAAAUCGUCAUAUUUAACUGGAUUAUCAUUGGCAUACACGUCAAGCUAUAGGUACAUUAAUUUUCAUAAAGUUGAUGUGGUGAAGUUUUCUUCAUCGUUUAUUUUAUGAUGCUUAAACUUUAAAUUCACACGUACAUUUAUUUAUUGUCAUUCUUGAUUUCCCUCGAAUGUUGGGUCUUUCGUAGCUUGGUACGUCUUUUCUUGUCUCUGACUAAACAUGGGUGUUAUGAAAAUAGUAAACCUAUAUUAAAAUACGAUAAUAAAUAAACAUUAGACUUAAUAAUUAGAACAACAAAUAUAUUUAAUAUACUACCACAACAAAAUAUAUAGUCUAGUCAACCUUUUUAUUCCUAGACUACUAAUUUGAGAUAUAUUCAAAAUUAAUGGUAAUUGAACAAUUACCAAAAUAUUACAGUCAAUUAUUAUUUACCAUACUACUAUAUGAAAUAUGUUGAAAAUUAAUGGUAAUUGAAUACAUUCCUAACGUUGUCCAUUUUGUGUUCUUGACUCUUCCUCUCAACUAUCUGUAUAUAUAAGAUUACAAGUGCAUGACUAUAUUUGAACAUCACAAAUAAAAGAUAGAACUAAAAGCGAUAGCCUUGGAAACACCAAAACUGAAACAUAUAUAUAACUAGAGUCGGCCCGUCCUGCGGGCGGGAUAUAUUUUACUUGUAAUCUAGAUUAUUAUUUUUUGUAUGAUUUUUUUGUGUCUAGGAUAGAAAUUAACGCCCUACAAACUUUCAGUUUUGAAUUAUUGCCUAUACACUAUCUAGCCCUUGAGUAAUUUGCCAAUAAUGAUUUCAAGAAUUUUAAUCAUAUGUUUCUUCCUCCCAACAAGCUAGGCAUUUCGAAUCGUGACUGUGACCAGUUUUAGAAGUGCAUCACAUCCGUCUUCUCGAAGUCCAUGCCUCUCAACAUUUGCCUUGCUUAACUACCUCAAUGUUUCCGUUGUAUAAGACGCUCUGGUAUGGAUUCCUUCCACGGCGAAGAUGACAUAACCCACCAGAUCAAAUAUUCCAAGGUCUGCAACAGGGAGGAGUUUGAUCAAAUGCUCUGGUAUGGCUACGCUUUCCAUUUUCCAUUUUUUCUGUAUAUCACUCUCUCCUGCCGUGAACCACAAAACAUAUCACUCAACCUGAACAACAUUAAAAAGCUGAACUUUAAAACACAUCGAAAGAUCACUGCUUCUCUACACAGCUAAAGUCAGAAACAUUGGAUAAAACAGCAAACCUUACAAUUUAAAACGAAGUUUGUCUCCUAAAGAAAGCUAUUAAGUAAACAGAAUAAGAUUCAACUUUCAUGGCAAAUCCUUUCCAUCCACUUCAUCUACCAAAAAAAGAGAUAAAAUCAGAAUCAAACUUCAUGGCAAAUCCUUACCAUGGUAUUUUUCCAGCCUAUAUAAACUAUAUAUAACCCAUCAUCUUCAAAUCACAAACCUACAAAAAUAGAAAUAAUAUUCAUCAAGAGUUUCAACUAAGAGCAAAAUUCAGAUCUAAUAAAACUCAAACAAAACCCAGAUUUGUCUAUUCGACGGUGGUAAUCCUCCAUACAGCCUCUCCUCUCUUCCUCCACACUCCUCUCUGCUCCUCCACACCGUAUCGAUCCUCUGGUUCGUCUUCACACUUCGAAUAUUCAAACUUCACCAAAAUCAAAGCCACACAGAAGAGAUGAUGAGAAAUUAAAUAAUUUGUAGAUCUAAAAAGGAGGAGGGGAUUCAUUACCAUUAAUUGAUAGAAACGGUAGUGGAGAUGGAGAUACAUGAGAAGAGAUCUCCUGAUGGUAGAGAGACAUGGAGCAGAGAUCCGAGGGAAUAGAAGAACAGACGUGGAAAGCGAGAGAGAGAGAGAUGGGAAGAGUAGAGACGUAAUAGCUGGAGAGGAGCGGAGCUGUCACGAAGUAGGAGAGGAGGCAUCACGGUGCUUAAUAACUUCAUGUAGGAGAGAGGCAGAGGAGGAGAGGAGGCGUCACAAAGUUAUGACCUGUAACUUAAAUGAAACGCUAGUUUUUGGGAUGGUGGGACACGUGUCGCGCUCACAAAGCUCGACUUAUCUAGGUGGAAUCCUAGGUGUCCUAAGGAGAAGAGAACAAACUGUUUCUUUAUAUAUAAAAGAGUGUUUUGCUCUCUCCUGAGGCUGCCACCUAGGAUUACACUUAGGAAAGUCGCUUCAUGAGGAGUCAACACGUGUCCCACCUGCUCGAAACACAGCGUUUCAUUAAAGGAAUCAGCGAUCCAUAUGGGCUAAGUUUGUGUGUGGGCUUUUUUUUUAAUUUGGGACAAGAAAAGCAGCCCGAUAGCAGUCAACCCUAAUAGCACAAUGUUCAUCUCCGUUCUUUGUUCUUCGUCGUCUGAUCUUCUUUUUCAUCGACCAAAAACGUUACCAGUUACAGAUUCGUCUCAUUAAACCUCUUCUUAACUCCAUCAACCACGAUCUGGUCUUGAAUGUGAACUUCUCUUCUCCGAGGCGGUGUCACUGCGAAUAUAAAAAUUUAAGCCUUCCUCUUCUCAAAACCAUCUUCUCGAUCUGUUGAACCAACAAAGUAAAGUUAUUUUCACAUAAAUGGCCAACUCGAAAGUUCUUAUUUCUCAUUUGAAAUCUGGUAAAUUUUCUUCUCCGGUUGAGGUUAGGUUGAUGCGUUGACUUCCUCUGCCUAACAAAGGGAAACAUGAACGGUUAGUGGCUACACUCAGUCGAUUCGUCUGGACUUCUUCUUAAAUCGUUAUGGGCGUCAAUAUGCUUCUCCUUGAAGCCAAGGUUGCUCCGGCGAUUUAGAAAACAAACUCAAGUUUUUUCUAUGAUGAUUUAAAGUCAAAGUCUUUACAAGCUGAGUUUGGCGAAAAGAGGAGCUUUGGUCGCGGUUUCUGUAUUACAGUCAAGAGAUUGCAACAUAUAAAAAAAUUACUAAUGCUCUGCUUCAUAGAAGGAUAUUACUGAAGAAAACAAAUCUCAUCCAUGCCCAACAGAGUGGUUAUUCCAUGUUGAUAUUGUUAAUAAAUGGAAAGAGUCUAACAGUUUCAGUGCUGCCCAGAUGUUUAGAGAAUAUCAAGAUGUCUGAUACGGCCUUACUGGUGAGAAGAGCAUUGUCUUUAAGCCAAUAUACUUUGUUUAUGGAUCUUCAAUAGAUUCUUUUGUGAAAAGGGGGAUCAGAAUUCUUUUGGUUCAUUGGAAAAGUAGCUCAGCAGUCCAGUGAGAAAGUGUUGAAGGAUGCAAUGAAACCAUCACAAAACAGUUCUGCUUAUGUCUAUGAAAGCUGGCGUCGAACUGAAUCUAACCGCUUCUUCACACGUCUUCUUAACGGGCAGAAAAGAAUGGCAUGUGGAAGAAGCUUCAUUGUUAAAACCAGGUAACCUUCUACACUCCUGGGCGUGACAAGUCAGAUAAUAGGAAAACAAAAGCUUGCUACAUGUCUCUCUAAGGUAGUUUUGUUGCUUCCUGAAUUGGUCUAAACAAGCAGAAGAAGGCUAAGGGAAACCAGAACAUUAUCUUCUGGUUGGACACAGAAGCGCUUGGAAUGCAUUGGAUCGUUUGGUGCAAGAAAAUUUUAUGUCUAAGAAACCAGAGGAGAAGAAGGUAGUCAAGUAAAGUGAUGGAAGAUCUAACUCCAUUAAUGGAGCUAUAAUAGGAGGAAGCUUUAUGCUUGGAUCAACAAGUCCCCACCCAUAAAUGUAGACAAGACAAUCAGUUUUUUUUUUUUUUUUGCAAUUAUUAUUUGAUCCCAACAGUCCAAAAACUACCGUUGACGAAGCCUUUUUCUUUUGUAUUUCUCAUUCACUAUAAAUAAAAAUUUCAAAUUUCUUCUUGA